AUCAUUGCGUGACGCCUGUCAUAUUUGGCGGAUUUCGCCUGAACGCAGGCUGAACCGCGCCGCCCCGUCAUUUGGCGGCGUCUUCGUGGAAAUGCUCGUAGACGAUACGGGCGACCGUUUCGGAAAUGCCGUUUACCGACAUCAGGUCGUUGAUGCCGGCGCGGGAGACGGCUU
rnacentral:sRNA from 1 species